AUUGAACGCUGGCGGCAGGCCUAACACAUGCAAGUCGAACGAGUGGCGGACGGGAGAGUCAUGUCUGGGAAACACCCUGAGGGAGGGGGAAAAUUACUGGAACCGGUCCCUAAAACAGCAUACACUCGGAUGUGCCCAUAUGGGAUUAGCCAGUAGGUGGGGUAAAGGCUCACCUAGGCGACGCUCCCUAGCUGGUCUGGGAGGAUGACCGGCCACACUGGAACUGAGCCACGGUCCAGACGCCUACGGGAGGCAGCAGUGGGGAAUAUUGCACAAUGGGCGCAAGCCUGAUGCAGCCUUGCCGCGUGUAUGAAGAAGGCCUUCGGGUUGUAAAGUACUUUCAGCGGGGAGGCGUUACCCGCAGAAGAAGCACCGGCUAACUCCGUGCCAGCAGCCGCGGUAAUAC
rnacentral:rRNA from 1 species